rnacentral:rRNA from 1 species
AACCUGGUUGAUCCUGCCAGUAAUCAUACGCUUGUCUUAAAGAUUAAGCCAUGCAUGUCUUAGUAUAAGCUUUUAUACGGCGAGACCGCGAACGGCUCAAUAAAUCAGUUAUAGUUCAUUUGAUCGUGCCUUACUACUCGGAUAACCGUAGUAAUUCUAGAGCUAAUACGUGCUAAAAACGGGCAGCAAUGCCCGUGCGUUUAUUAGAUAUUUAGCCAACGUGAAGGUCUCCUUCACUACGCGCUGACUCAUGAUAACCUCGCGAACCGCAUGCCUUGUGCUGGCGGUGUUUCAUUCAAAUUUCAGCCCUAUCAACUUCGGAUGGUAAUGUAGUGGAUUACCAUGGUUAUAACGGGUGACAGAGAACUAGGGUUCGGUUCUGGAGAGGGCGCCUGAGAGAUGGCGACCACUUCCAAGGAAGGCAGCAGGCGCGCAAAUUACCCAAUAGGAGUUCCCUGAGGCAGUGACAAUAAAUAACAAUGCAGGUGCUUUACGGCACUUGCAAUUGGAAUGAACGUGGUGUAAACAGCCUAGUAAGGAUCAAUUGGAGGACAAGUCUGGUGCCAGCACCCGCGGUAAUUCCAGCUCCAAUAGCGUAUAUUAAAGUUGUUGCAGUUAAAACGCUCGUAGUCGGAAUCAGGGGCUGCUUCAGUUUCGGUCUGCUGGGGACAGUGUGCACUGAACUGAACUCCUCUUACUUUGCGAACGGGGCGUGUUUGGCCUUAACUGGCUGAGCACCGUCUCUCGCAUCUUUUACCAUGAGUAAAUUAGAGUGCUCUAAGCAGGCCUUUCGGCUUGAAUAUUUUAGCAUGGGAUAAUCGAACACGACGCUUGUCUUGUUCGUUGGUUGGCGAGCUGGCGUAAUGAUCAACAGGAACAAGCGGGGGCAUUUAUAUUGCUUGGGGAGGGGUGAAAUCCUUGGAUCCAAGCAAGAUAAACUACUGCAAAAGCAUUUGCCAAGUGUGUUUCCAUUGAUCAAGAACGAAAGUUUGGGGAUCGAAGACGAUCAGAUACCGUCGUAGUCCAAGCUAUAAACGAUGGCGACCACAACUUGAGUAGUGUUACUUGAAACCUCCCCAUGAUGUAGCGAGAAAUCAGAGUGUUUGGCUUCCGGGGGAAGUAUGGUCGCAAGGCUGAAACUUAAAGGAAUUGACGGAAGGACACCACCAGGAGUGGAGCCUGCGGCUUAAUUUGACUCAACACGGAAAACUCACGAGGUCCAGACAUAAGUAUGAUUGACAGAUUGAACGCUCUUUCUUGAUUUUAUGGGUGGUGGUGCAUGGCCGUUCUUAGUUCGUGGAUUGAUUUGUCUGGUUGAUUCCGAUAACGAACGAGAUCUCAACCUGCUAAAUAGCAAACGUAGUCUCCUGCUGGGUGAAUGCAGGGGUCUGCAUGGCCUCCGGGUUGUGUGGCCUCUGUUGGAUCUCGGGAGAUCUAGCGUUACGGCUUCUUAGAGGGACUGCUUCAGUUAAUGGAGAGGAGGUUUGAGGCAAUAACAGGUCUGUGAUGCCCUUAGAUGUUCUCGGCUGCACGCGCGCUACACUGAUGGUUCUAAUUAGUCUCCUGGGCCGAGAGGCUCGGGAAAUCUGAGAAAGAUCAUCGUGCUGGGGAUAGAUCAUUGCAAUUGUCGGUCUUAAACGAGGAAUUCCUAGUAAGUGCAAGUCAUCAGCUUGCGCUGAUUACGUCCCUGUCCUUUGUACACACCGCCCGUCGCUCCUACCGAUUGAAUGGUCCGAUGAAAUCUGCGGAUUGUGGGGGGAAGUUCACUCUGAACCUCGGGAGAAGCUGAUUAAAUCUUAUCAUUUAGAGGAAGGAGAAGUCGUAACAAGGUCUCCGUAGGUGAACCUGCAGAAGGAUCA